UCGCGGGAUGGAGCAGUUAGGUAGCUCGUCGGGCUCAUAACCCGAAGGUCGUAGGUUCAAAUCCUGCUCCCGCAAUUAU
rnacentral:tRNA from 1 species